GAGCGGCAGCACGGGUACUUGUACCUGGUGGCGAGCGGCGGACGGGUGAGUAAUGCCUAGGAAUCUGCCUGGUAGUGGGGGAUAACGUCCGGAAACGGGCGCUAAUACCGCAUACGUCCUACGGGAGAAAGUGGGGGAUCUUCGGACCUCACGCUAUCAGAUGAGCCUAGGUCGGAUUACCUAGUUGGUGAGGUAAUGGCUCACCAAGGCGACGAUCCGUAACUGGUCUGAGAGGAUGAUCAGUCACACUGGAACUGAGACACGGUCCAGACUCCUACGGGAGGCAGCAGUGGGGAAUAUUGGACAAUGGGCGAAAGCCUGAUCCAGCCAUGCCGCGUGUGUGAAGAAGGUCUUCGGAUUGUAAAGCACUUUAAGUUGGGAGGAAGGGCAGUUACCUAAUACGUAAUUGUUUUGACGUUACCGACAGAAUAAGCACCGGCUAACUCUGUGCCAGCAGCCGCGGUAAUACAGAGGGUGCAAGCGUUAAUCGGAAUUACUGGGCGUAAAGCGCGCGUAGGUGGUUUGUUAAGUUGGAUGUGAAAGCCCCGGGCUCAACCUGGGAACUGCAUCCAAAACUGGCAAGCUAGAGUAUGGUAGAGGGUGGUGGAAUUUCCUGUGUAGCGGUGAAAUGCGUACAUAUAGGAAGGAACACCAGUGGCGAAGGCGACCACCUGGACUGAUACUGACACUGACGUGCGAAAGCGUGGGGAGCAAACAGGAUUAGAUACCCUGGUAGUCCACGCCGUAAACGAUGUCAACUAGCCGUUGGGAACCUUGAGCUCUUAGUGGCGCAGCUAACGCAU
rnacentral:rRNA from 1 species